GUCAAUUACCCCACGACUAAAGUCGGGGCUUGUCUUAACAAACAGCCCUAGUUGAUUAGACUAAGCACUUAUGUUAUGUGCUACGUUACUUGUAAAUAUAUAGUUACCAAGGAAUGUUUUACCUAGUUCCUUGCUCUA
rnacentral:sRNA from 1 species